rnacentral:rRNA from 1 species
GAUGAACGCUGGCGGCGUGCUUAACACAUGCAAGUCGAACGGGAAUUACUUUCUUGAUACUUCGGUCGAUUUAAUUUAAUUCUAGUGGCGGACGGGUGAGUAACGCGUGGGUAACCUGCCUUAUACAGGGCGAUAACAGUCAGAAAUGGAAGCUAUUACCGCAUAAGGGUAAAGGGCUGCAGGGCUCAGUGUGUAAAACUUCGGUGGCUGAAGAAGGACCCGCGUUGGAUUAGCUGGUUGGUGGGGUAACGGCCCACCAAGGCGACGAUCCAUAGCCGGCCUGAGAGGGUGAACGGCCACAUUGGGACUGAGACACGGCCCAGACUCCUACGGGAGGCAGCAGUGGGGAAUAUUGCACAAUGGGGGAAAGCCUGAUGCAGCGACGCCGCGUGAAUGAAGAAGUAUCUCGGUAUGUAAACCUCUAUCAGCAGGGAAGAUAGUGACGGUACCGGACUAAGAAGCCCCGGCUAACUACGUG